GACGAACCGAGCAAACGUUUAUUCGGAAUCACUGGGCUUAAAGGGCGCGUAGGCGGUCUCGUAAGUCUGCGGUGAAAUCCUCCAGCUCAACUGGAGAACGGCCGUGGAUACUGCGAGUCUCGAGGGAGGUAGGGGCGUGCGGAACAGAUGGUGGAGCGGUGAAAUGCGUUGAUAUCAUCUGGAACUCCGGUGGCGAAGGCGGCACGCUGGACCUCUUCUGACGCUGAGGCGCGAAAGCCAGGGGAGCAAACGGG
rnacentral:rRNA from 1 species